rnacentral:rRNA from 1 species
AACGGAGUUCUUAAGGAAUGCGACUUCGGUCAAAUGACUUUUGAACUUAGUGGCGGACGGGUGAGUAACGCGUGAGCAACCUGCCUUUCAGAGGGGGAUAACAUUUGGAAACAGAUGCUAAUACCGCAUAAGAUUACAGUACCGCAUGAUACAGUGAUCAAAGGAGCAAUCCGCUGAAAGAUGGGCUCGCGUCCGAUUAGAUAGUUGGUGAGGUAACGGCUCACCAAGUCGACGAUCGGUAGCCGGACUGAGAGGUUGAACGGCCACAUUGGGACUGAGACACGGCCCAGACUCCUACGGGAGGCAGCAGUGGGGAAUAUUGCACAAUGGGCGAAAGCCUGAUGCAGCAACGCCGCGUGAGGGAAGACGGUUUUCGGAUUGUAAACCUCUGUUUUCGGUGACGAAUAAAUGACGGUAACCGAGUAGGAAGCCACGGCUAACUACGUGCCAGCAGCCGCGGUAAUACGUAGGUGGCAAGCGUUAUCCGGAAUUACUGGGUGUAAAGGGAGCGCAGGCGGGAUAGCAAGUCAGCUGUGAAAACUAUGGGCUCAACCCAUAAACUGCAGUUGAAACUGUUAUUCUUGAGUGGAGUAGAGGCAAGCGGAAUUCCGAGUGUAGCGGUGAAAUGCGUAGAUAUUCGGAGGAACACCAGUGGCGAAGGCGGCUUGCUGGGCUCUAACUGACG